UGAGACUCUGUGCGCGUGCAUAUCAAUAAGCGGAGGAAAAGAAACUAACAAGGAUUCCCCUAGUAACGGCGAGUGAAGCGGGUAAGAGCUCAAAUUUGGAAUCUUAAAGGGUUUCCCUUUACGAAUUGUAGUUUAAAGAAGUGGUUUCUGUUGGAGUUUCGGUAAAAGUUCUUUGGAAUAGGACAUCAUAGAGGGUGAGAAUCCCGUAUUUGACCGUUACUUUCCAGCUGUGUGAUACACUUUCAAAGAGUCGGAUUGUUUGGGAAUGCAGUCCAAGAUGGGUGGUAAAUUUCAUCUAAAGCUAAAUAUUGGCGAGAGACCGAUAGCGAACAAGUACCGUGAGGGAAAGAUGAAAAGAACUUUGAAAAGAGAGUUAAACAGUACGUGAAAUUGUCAAAAGGGAAGCGUUUGACACCAGUGUUGUUUAGUUGAAAAUCAAUUCAAUAAUUUUUGAUUCUAAGUAGUAUUGACUUCAGUCAGCUUGCUGCUUUCUUCUCAGGAAAUUAUUGAAUGCACUUUUCAGUUAACAAGUCAACAUCAAUUUCUUUUGUUGUAAAAGGGUAAGAGGAAGGUGGCUUGCGCUUCGGCUCAAGUGUUUAUAGCCUUUUAUCUCUGCAAUCGGAGAGAUUGAGAGUCUGCAGCGUAGAUCCUUCGGGGUUAGAUACAUUGGUGCUAAGCUAUAGCCUUGUAUAGACAACUUGUUGACUAUGCUCAGUCAUGUAGCUUACUCGCUGAUGCUAUUUUACCUACGCUUAGGAUGUUGACAGCAGUAUAGACUGU
rnacentral:rRNA from 1 species